CAUCACCACACGAGACCCAAAGACCAUGCAGCGAGUCCCAGAGCUGACCGCUUGCUUCGGUUCCAGUUUCUCCAGGUGGAAGCCAACUCUCGCCUGAGGACCGCCCUGUGUUUAUCUGAGCUACACACGAUAAGAGCAGAGCCCAAGGUGAUUUUUCCGGAUUUGGAAUUUUGCUUCCGAGCCUAAGGAUCGCUUAGAGACCCAGCACGUGCAGCCAGGCUCCCGCUGCCACCGCCGCCGGCUUCUUCUUCACCCCAAGUACUAUUUUUGACGUGUUAAUACUAACACCGUGUUUGCCGAACUGAUAUUAGUUAUAUUUGUGUGUUUUUUCCUCCCCUCAAUUGCAAGACUCUGAAGGGAACACGUCCUAAAAUCCAUUAGUUUAUACUUUGUAGGAUACAAUAAGCAAUGCUUAGGUCAAUGGGAAAAGCAUCAUUAUCCUUAGUGCCCAAAAGUCUUUAGGAACUAGGAAAUGUUUUUAUUGGGCUAGGGGUGCGAUCCGUUGGCAGUGCGAUCCUAGCUCGCUGGAAGCCCGAGGCUUACUCCCUAGUGUGUUAUAAACCACACCUGUAUUCUCAGCGCUCAGGAGGCAGAGGCAGCAGGCUCUGACGGGCAAGGAUAUUCUCCUGUAUACUUAGUUUGACACCCGUCUGGGCCUUGACAAAUUAAACAAGUAAAUGAAUAAAGUUUUCCAUCAUCUUGGCACUGGAGACUCUGAUUCAGAAGGAAAGAGAGAGGGGGCAGGAAAGGAAGCGUGUAGCGUUCUCUGCGGGUCUCCGCAGACAAGCGGCCCUCUAGGUUAUUGGAUGCGGAGAGGACGCAUUCCUACCCCACCGGUAGCUCUUGAAUCAGGCAGUUUCCUGAGCAGCAAGUAGACUCAAGUGGUCUGGGGCUCAUCACGCCGGAAGCCAUUACUAUUCCUGUUUCAGGGUGAAGACACAGGGGUUACUAGACUACAGUCUUGCUGUAGGGAAGAGCAGAGCCCAGCCCAGCCAGCAUGGCUUCCUUCCUGCUAGCCCACGUGAGACCUUUCGGGGUUUGUUCAGGGACUGACACAGUCAGGUUUAUUUUGUUGAAAUAUGAGCGGCGGCGGGGCUGCGUCCCCAACACCCCGGCCGCUUGGCUAGCUCAUGCCCGAAAUAACAAAACACAAACUGUAUUCAUUUAAAGAACUGCUUGGCCCAUGAACUCUAGCCCUUACAGGCUAAUUCUUGCACCUGGACUAGCCCAUUUCUAAUGAUGUGUGUAAGCACCCCAAGGUGCGCUUACCGGGAAGAUUCUAGCCUCCGUCCAUCAUGGAUCUGAGCUUCAUGCGUCUGCCUCAGAGUGCAGAGCUAUCGCGUCUACCCGGGAGAGCUGAGCAUGGCGUCUCUCAGGAAGCAGAGCAUAGUCUGACCUCACUUCCUCUUCUGCCCAGAAUUCUAUUCUGUUUACUCCUCCCAUCUAUGUUCCAAGCCAUGAGGCC